GACGAACGCUGGCGGCGUGCUUAACACAUGCAAGUCGAACGGUGAAGGGACCGGUUUUUGCUGGUUCUGGAUGAGUGGCGAACGGGUGAGUAACACGUGAGUAACCUUCCCCCUUCUUCUGGAUAACCGCAUGAAAGUGUGGCUAAUACGGGAUAUUCUGCGCCUGCUGCAUGGUGGGUGUGGGAAAGAUAUUGUUUCGGUGGGGGAUGGGCUCGCGGCCUAUCAGCUUGUUGGUGGGGUGAUGGCCUACCAAGGCGGUGAGGGGUAGCCGGCCUGAGAGGAGCGGCGGCAAUAGGAGGCGGGAAAGGCGCACAGGCCUCCAGCGGGAGGCAGCAGGGAGGGUUAUGGGAAGGGGGGCGGCAGGGUGGAGCAGCGCCGCGGCGGGGGGGAUGGUGUCCUGCGGGUGGGACUCUUUUUUCGGUAGUGAAGAAGGCUUGCCCUUUUUGUGGGUGGCUUGACGGUACCUGAAGAGAAAGCGCCGGCUAACUCCGUG
rnacentral:rRNA from 1 species